rnacentral:rRNA from 1 species
AUUGAACGCUGGCGGCAGGCUUAACACAUGCAAGUCGAACGAGUGGCGGACGGGUGAGUAAUGCUUGGGAAUCUAGCUUUUGGAGGGGGAUACCUACGGGAAACUUUAGCUAAUACCGCUAACCUAAGGAUGACCCCAAGUGGGAUGAGGUAGUUGGUGAGGUAAAGGGUCACCAAGCCGACGAUCUCUAGCUGGUCUAAGAGGAUGACCAGCCACACUGGGACGGGGACACGGCCCAGACUCCUACGGGAGGCAGCAGUGGGGAAUAUUGCGCAAUGGGGGCAACCUGACGCAGCCAUGCCGCGUGAAUGAAGAAGGCCUUCGGGUUGUAAAGCUCUGUUAAUCGGGAGACGGUACCGGAAUAGAAAGCCACGGCUAACUACGUGCCAGCAGCCGCGGUAAUUC